GCUCUUUGGUACGCUGAGGCUGAUGUGAUUGCCCAGACUCGUGUCCUGCAUGGAAUUUAAACUACUUUUGUAACAGCAAAAGGAAUUUACUGACUUCCUCUCAGAUUGAAAGCAGAAAUGACCACUCGCAUCAAAUUAUUUACUUCGAUUUGUAGCUUAUUUAAAAUGAGAUCCCAUUCUUCCAGUCUGUGGCAUUGUCCCAAACUGCCCUAUCAAAGGUUCUAAAAUAUGCUUAGGGCAUCUCUAUUAAGAGGAUGAGGAGAAAGGAGGAGGGAGAAGAUGCUAACAACUAAAUGGUUCAAUAUGAUGCAGUAUUUCCAAUGGCGGGAGACAGAAACAAUGUCACAAAGUGGGAGAGGCACUAAGAAUGAGAUCUGGCACCACUUACUCUUGUUUCUAUACAAUCGAAGUACAACACUUCUCAAUUUUCUAGGUGUCUUUGGGGAGAGAUCUUAUCUCUCUUAAUGGUACCAACUCAGUAACCCAAACUGUUCACCAAUACUUCUUUUAAGUAGUUGUGAGGUAGGGAGUCUAACACUUCCCAAGAGAUCCUGUUAGUACAUUAUAGCAACUAUAGGGAAUGUUUUACAAAUGACUGUCAUUAUAAUGUUAAAUCUAACAUAUAUGCCAACCCCCUUAGUUUAUACAAUAACUUUCCUCCAAAAAUCUUAAUUAAAAAUAAAAUAUAGCUGACUUCGUUAUAAAGAGA